CAGUGGGGAAUAUUGCACAAUGGGCGCAAGCCUGAUGCAGCCAUGCCGCGUGUGUGAAGAAGGCCUUCGGGUUGUAAAGCACUUUCAGCGGGGAGGAAGGCGGUGAGGUUAAUAACCUCACCGAUUGACGUUACCCGCAGAAGAAGCACCGGCUAACUCCGUCCCAG
rnacentral:rRNA from 1 species